GGUGGCGUGGAGGGGCAGAGCGGCCGCUGCAAGAUCGUGGUGGUGGGAGAUGCGGAGUGCGGCAAGACGGCGCUGCUGCAGGUGUUCGCCAAGGACGCCUUUCCCGGGAGUUAUGUCCCCACCGUGCUUGAGAACUACACCGAGAGCUUUGAGAUCGACAAGUGCCGCAUUGAGCGCAACAUGUGGGACACUUCAGGUUCCUCUUACUAUGAUAAUGUCCGGCCUCUGGCCUAUCCUGAUUCUGACGCUGUGCUCAUCUGCUUCGACAUUAGCCGACCAGAAACACUGGACAGUGUUCUCAGGAAGUGGCAAGGAGAGACUCAAGAGUUUUGCCCCAAUGCCAAGGUUGUGCUGGUUGGCUGUUAACUAGACAUGCGGACUGACCUGGGCACACUGAGGGAGCUGUCCAAGCAGAGGCUUAUCCCUGUCACACAUGAGCAGGGCACUGUGCUAGCCAAGCAGGUGGGGGCUGUGUCCUACGUGGAUGCUCCUCCCGGUCCUCUGAGCGCAGCGUCAGGGAUGUCUUCCAUGUGGCCACAGUGGCCUACCUUGGCCGUGGUCAUAGGCAGCUGCGCCGAACUGACUCACGCCAGGGAAUGCAGCGAUCCACUUAGCUGUCAGGACGGCUAGACCGAGAGAAUGAGGGCGACAUACAUAAGGAUCGAGCCAAGAGCUGCAACCUCAUGUGCCGGGCUAGGAGUGGGGCAGAGUGUGAAGCGGGUGGUGAGGGACACAAUUGUUUCCCUGCCUGCGUCCAGGCUUCCUGACCUCCUGAGCCUGUCUGGGAAGUCUGGGCAGGCAGAGCAAGCAAUUCUUCUGGCAGGGGAGCUGGAGGGCAGAAGGGUAUCAUUUCUCAUAUCCUCCUCCCUCCUCUUCUCCAGUGGAUGUUGAGGGAGCUAACAGGGCUGGCAUCGGGGCAUGAACUGGGAUGGGGCAGGUGGGAGUUAGGGAAGCUGGUAUCAAACAGUGACCUCAGUGGAGUCUCCUAGGUGAAGGGUACCCUCCCUCUCCACCCCCACCCUCCAUAUCCUGGUUCUUUCUGGCCCAAGGAAAAUGUCCAUUCUGUGACCUUCUCUUUUCCUCUCUCACUUGUGCAGCUGUUCUCACACAUCUUAACCUCUAGGCAACAUGCAAGGAGAAGCCCCUCCCCACAUCAGUCCACAAGCCUUAGAACCCCCCUUGCUCCAAUAGUCACCCAAUAAAGCCCAUGUCCAUGAAAAAAAAAGGACAAAAUGAGAAUUUGAAGGAAAUGUGAAAAUUAUAAAAUUGAAAAAUACAACUGACAAUUAAGAAUUCGAUGAAUGAGUUACAGCUGAAGAGAAAUUAAUAAGCUGGAAAAUCAGAAAAGACAUUCUGAUUAAAACACAACUUGAAAAGAAUGGAAAAUGUAAAGAGGGGGCAUAAGAGAAAUAUGAGAUGUGAUAUAAAGGCAUAAUAUAUAUUUAUUUAGAGCCAUGUAUGGAAAAAAAUAAAGGGAAUUAGGUACAAGCAAUAACUGAAGAGAAAGUGGCCAACACUGUUCCAAAAGUGACAAAUGACAUCAAGCAGUAAGCUUUAUGAAUCUUAAGAUAAACAAAAAUAAUAUCAGUAAUAACGACAUCAAAUAACUGCCUGGAAAUACCAUAAUAAAAUUUACAUAAGCAAAAGAAAACAAAAAGUCUAAUCUUCCUCUCUCCCCAACACUGUGGUAGGCUUGAAAAUCAUCAGCUUUGCAACUAUAGCAGCUGUAAAAACCAGUAGCCUCACUGGCAUGGAAGAGAACAGAUCUGGGAGACCCUCAAAAGCCCUGUCCCAGACAGUUGCUUCUGUUAACUCUUGUGGCAAUUCACUGUAAAACUCCAUUUUCAGAGCUUGUGUUUACCUUACCGGACUCCGAGCUGUGAAAAUAGUGUUAUCUCCAGUGAACAUGUCCCCAAAAAUCAAGAACAUCUGUUUAAAAACACAGCUGACUGAGAUAGCAUUAUGACUUGGGGCUAACAAGUGGCUGAUUACAAAAUCAAAAGGAAAACUUGAAAAUAAUAUGACCUGGAAAGAAAGAUAGUUUCACUUCCUAUUUGGAUGCUUUCUAUUUCUUUCAUUUGCCUGGUUACUGUGGGUUAGUACUAUGCUGAAUAGGAGUGGUGAGAGUGGUGAUAUUUGUCUUGUUCUGAUUCUUAAAGUGAAUGAUUCAAGCUUCCGUACAUUCAGUAUGAUACUGGCUGUGGGUUUGUCAUAGAUGGCUCUUUUCCUUUUGAGGUAUGUUCCUUAAAUGCCUAGAUUAUUGAGAGUUUUUAACAUGAAGUGAUGUUAAAUUUUAUUGAAAAAAUUUUGUAUGCCUAUUGAAAUGAUCAUGUGGUUUUUAUUUUUAGUUUCAUUUAUGUGAUGAAUUACAUUUAUUGAUUUGCGUAUGGUGAGCCAACCUUGCACCUCAGGAAUAAAGACUACUUGAUCAUGGUGGAUUAACUUUUUGAGUGCUGUUGAAUUCAGUGAGCUAGUAUUUUAUUGAGGAUUUUUAUAUCUUUGUUCAUCAGAGCUCUUGGCCUAAAGUUUUCUUUUUCUUGUUGUAUCUCUGAUAGGUUUUGGUAUUAGAAUGAUGCUGGCCUAAUAAAAUGAGUUAGGGAAGAGUCUCUCCUCAAAGUUUUGGAAGAGUUUCAAUAGGAUUAAUACAGUUCUCUGUAAGUCUGGGGGAAUUUGAUUAUGAAGCCAUCUGGUCCAGGUUUCUUUCUCAUUGGUAAGUUUUUUAUUACUCAUUCAGUUUCAGAACUUAUUGGUCUGUUCAGUUUCUUCCUGGUUCAUGCUUGGGAAGUUCUAUGUUUCCAGGAAUUUAUCCCUUUCUUUUGUAUUUUCUAGUUUAUGUGCAAAGAGGUGUUUGUAAUAAUCUCUGAGGGUUUUGGGUUUUUUUAAAAAUUUCUGUGGGUAUUUGUAAUGUCACCUUCAUCUGUUCUGAUUGUGUUGAUUGGGAUCUUCUCUCUUUUUAUUAGUCUAGCUAAUGGUCUAUCAGUCUUAUUUGUUCUUUCAAAUAACUAACUUCUAGUUUCAUUGAUCCUUUGCAUAGUUUGUUGCAUGUCAAUUUCAUUGAGUUCCGCUGUGAUUUUGUUUAUUUCUUUUCUCCUGCUAGCUUUGGGGUUGCUUUGGCUUUGUUUACCAGUUCCCUCUGAGUGUGAUGUUAGGUUGUUAAUUUGAGGUCUUUCUAACUUCAGUGUGGGUGCUUUAGUGGUAUAAACUUUACUCUUAUUACGGCUUAAGUUGAGUCCCAGAGAUUUGGUAGGUUGUAUCUUUGUUUACAUUAGUUUCAGAAAUUUUCUGGAUUUUUGCCUUAAUUUCAUUGUUUACUCAAAAGUCAUUUGGGAGCAGGUUACAUAAUUUCCAUGUCACGGUAUCAUUUGGUCAUAUGUUUUUAAUAUUAAUUUCUACUUUUACUGUGUUGUGGACUAAGAGUAUGCUUGGUAUGAUUUGGUUUUUGUUUUGAAUUUGUUGAGAAUUGUUUUAUGGCUGAGUAUGUGGCCUAUUUAGAGUGCAUGCUGUACACAGAUGAGAAGAAUGUAUAUCCUGUCGUUGCUGGAUGGAAUGUUCCCUAAAUGCCUGCUAGGUUCAUUUGGUCAAUUGUUGAGAUUAGAUCUCUAAUAUCUUUGUUACUUUUCUGCCUUGAUGAUCUGUCUCAUACUGUCAGUGGGUUGUUGAAGUCUUCUUUUGAUAUUAUGUGGUUAACUAAGUCUCUUCAUAGGUUUUUAAAUCUGAGUGCUCCAGAGUUGGGUGCAUAUAUAUUUAGGAUAGAUGAGCAUUCUUGUUGAAUUGAGCCUUUUAUCAUUAUGUAAUGCCUUUUUUUGAUCAUUGUUGACUUAAAGUCUUUUUCUUCUGAAAUAAAAAUAGCAAUCGCUGCUCUUUUUUAUUUUCCUAUGCUUAGUAGCUUUUUUCUUCAUACAUUUUCUAUAUUUUCUAGCUCAGAAGGCUGAGGCACAAGAAUCACUUGAACUCUGUGUGAUGGAAUGAGACUCUGUCUCAAAACAAACAAAAAAAUCUUCUGAUUGUAUUAUGAAAUUUUUGUGGUUUUUCAGCUCUAUCAGAUCAAUUUGGUACCCUCUUAAAAUUGUUAUUUCAUCUUUUAGCUGUUAGAUCAUUUUGUGGAUAACUUCAAUUCAUUAUAUUGAGUUUUUACUUUGUCCUGAAUCUCAAUGAUUUUUGUUACUAUCCAUAUUCUGAAUUCUGUCUGUUGUUUCUGUCAUUUCUAUUUGGCUAAGAACCAUCAAUGGGGAGGUAGUGUGAAUAUUUACAGGUAAGAAGACACUCUGGCUUUUUGAGUUGCCAGAGUUUUUGUACUGGUUCUUUAUCCUCUGUGUGGGCUGAGGUACCUUUAAUUUUUUAAGUUGUUGUUCUUUGGAUGGGGUUUUUUGCUUAUACAUUAUGUGAUAUCCUUGAGGGUUCAACUGUAGUAUGAGUUGGCUUUGGAUAAGUGACCUUGUUUAUGGUUAUUUCAGGGAUCCAAGGCUCAUGUCACCACUCCUGGGCUGCAUGCUCUAACCCUAGGGUCUGGUACCAGGCCUACAGCUUUGUUCUUUGGCCACUCAAGGUUAAGCACCUGCUGUGUUGGAGGGUCUGAGGUGUUCCUAGUCCACUGGAAGCAUUACUCUGAUGGGGUGUUCUGGCAAAAAAGUACUUCAUAGGAGUGGUGCCAGCAGGGUCUGCACUUAUGCAUGUGUGCUAGCAGCAGGGCAGUGACAUGGCAGGAUCUGUACAUGCCUACAAUGCCAGUGGCAGUAAUAUGGUUGAUUCUACACAUACACACCAGUGGCAGUGGGGUGGCAGGGACCAUGCAUGUGUGAGUGCUGGUGGCGGUGGUGCAGCGGGAUGCAUGCUCACUGGUGGGGGCAGGGUGAUGAUGUCUGUGCACGUGCACCUCUUUUUUUCAUCUGCAAUAGUUUCUCAGUAUUCCUUUGUCUUUCAUAAUAUUGUUCUGGCAAAAAUUUUAAUGGCACCCCUUUCACUCCCAAAAACUUUCUAGUUUGGACAAUAAAUAUCACCUUAUUAAUGUGUGAUUGGAGAUAAUGUUCCGUGAAUAUUCUUCAUGAUCAGAGUAUUUUGGGCAAGAGAGCACUGGCACUUGAAUUAAAGGAAGAUUGAAUAUAAUAAACAAUUGGCAUAAUAAUAUGAAUACAUGUUCUUUUAAGUAUUUGAAAGUUUUAAGACUGUAUAGGAGUCCUGAGACCAAUGUCUUUGAACCAGUACCACAAAGAAACAACAGAAACACAUUGUUUAAGAUUAUACCACUGUUUAAUGCAAUUUAGAUUGAUCCAUUUGUUCUUUUGGUGUUUUCUUCUUAUGUCUCAUACUUGGUGUUUUCCCCAAUAUCUAUUUUCAUUGUUUAGAUAAGAAGACGGCCUCCUUAAGCUCCCUGUGGUCUUCUAAUUUUGACAUUCCCUAGGUCAUUGCAUUACUCACUGUAUUUCAUAUUAUGUUUAUAUUUCUUUUUGUUCAAAAUCGUAUUAAGCCAGAAGCUACAUGUCAUGCUAUGCUGGCAAACCCAUUCUGGGGAAAAUUUUUUUAAGGCCCCAUUUAAAGUGUUUACUGCCGUCUUUAAGCUGCAAUCUAAGCUGCCAAUCUGAUAUAACUGUUGAUGGUGUUGGAGUUGGGAAAAGAUGUACACAGCCUACUGUCCUGAGUGGUAGUGGCCAGCUCCAACAUACCCUGGUCUAGGUCUAUAUUAAUGGCCAAUGAUAUGUGUUUUUUGAGAAAAGAUAAUUCUUUUUCCUGUUUUCAACUGGAAUUUACCUGUGGCGAUGAUAUUGAUAUCACUAACCAGAAACCAGAGUCAGUCUGUUUUCUGUUAUUGAAUCUCUAUCUAACAGUCACCCAUUUGGACCCUCAGUGUGUUACAAAGACAAAAGUGUAAAACAAAUCAAAUAUCCUUUGUUUUUGAAGCGUAAGUUCACAUUAUGCACUUUACAUUUUCAAUUUGGCUCUCUUCUGGAUAACAUAAUUUGCAAGGACUUCAAAGAUUAAUAGUUUGCCUUGCUAGUGCUCAGACUGUAGUUCUUGGAUGACAACUUCCAUAUCCCAUGAGAGCUUGGUAGAAAUGCAGACUCUUAGGCCUCACCCUAGAUUUAAUCCAAUCUGCAUUUUAACAAGAUCCCUAGGUGAUUCUUACGGAAACCAUGUUUGUGAGCACUGACCUUAGGGUAUUUGAGCUCUAAUUAUUUCAGCUCGCUGCCUUAUAAUUGGAAAAUUGUUGCCAUAUAAAUAUAGCCCUCAUAAGAUGUGCUAUGUUUAGCCAAAAUAUGUCAUGUUUUGGCUUGUUCCUUAGUUUGUCCUCAAUGUUAUUUUUCCAGUUAGUUGAAGUUGUCUCUUUCCAAAUACUGAAAUGUCGCGAUGUAUUUUCAGAAUUCAUUUCCUUUAAAACAAAUUUUCUAUUCUCUUUUGAAGCAUCAGAUUAAUCACUUUAGUUCCUAUUAGAUUUUUGUCUCCUUGAAAAUAUUGAUGUGUAAAUUCUUUGCUCUGUGGAAUGAUCAGUCAGAGUUAGUGCAUAUUUUUUCUUCCCUCUUGAUUUGGAGAUUCACUUUUAUAUGUUACUAAAUUAGUAAAGUGUUAAAAUGUGGUACCUUUGAUUUCUGUGAAUCAUUCCCAGCCCUUGGCUAUAAAGGCCAGCAUAAUUUACUAUCAUAUAGUUCAAGAGCUUGACAGAGAAAUUGGACUUUUUGGGGAAGAAGAAUGCAUAUAAAAUAUAUUAAUGAAUUUAUAGGAGUUUAAAUAAGUCCCUCUAAGGCAGUCAAUCUCACCCUGGCUUCACUUCAGAAUUAUUUGAGAAGAUUUUAAGAAGCCCUAGUACUGCUCUCUUCUCUGAGACACACUGGCUUAAUUGGUCCGGUGUUGUUUUCAUGUGUCUGUAUUUUUUUUAAAACUCUCAAAGUGAUGCAAACCGUGGAUUGAGAGUCACUGCUCUACCAAAGAGCAAAGCCAAAAAAUAAACAUGACUUGGUCAGGCACCCUGUAACAGGAGUCUCUUUCAUUAAGGGGUCUACUUAUCCUUGGUACUAGUAUAUAUAGUAAUUAAAGUUGUCAGCUGCGUCCAUCAGAUUUAGCUACAUCUCUGUAAGAAUUACUCGAGUGUUUGUUUUUAACCUGCUUUUAUGAAAACAGCAAAAAUACUGAAGAAAAUGAGGUUACACUAUGGAAUAAGUUAUAGAAAGUUUAGUAAAGAGCAAAUUAUAAGUUAAAUCUGCAUCCACAUUAAAAAGAAUGUAAGGGUGGAUGCGUAUGGCAAUUUCCUCAAACCUAUCCUCCAACAAGAGGCAGAAUACAAAUACAGCAUUUCCUCAAAUAAUGUUUGUGUCAACACUGCUUUCUCAUUAUAAUACUGACAAGAAAAAAAACCAUGUCAAAAGCACGUGUUGAAGCAGAGGAUCCACAUAACAAGACUAAGGCUGAGAGGGUCCUUUGGGAAAAUUCAGAAGAGUAGAUCUGUGUUGGGAAAGAAAGAAGCAACUGGGGAUGAUGGCUUAGUGCCUAACUAUCACAUCACUUCUUAUUUUUUUAAAAUAAAGAUGGGGUCUCACUUUGUUGCCCACGCUGGUUUCAAAUUCCUGGCCUCAAUUGCUCCUUCCACCUCUGCCACCCAAAGUACUGGGAUUAUAGGCAUGAGUCACCAUGCCCAGGCCCAACUAUCACUUCCUAAUCCAGACUUAGGUCUCCAGUAAGGACCUAAAAACAUUGAGCUAGUCAUGGAGGCAUGUGCUUAGACGAAUUAAGAAAGAGGUGAGUCUGCAGCACUGUCACAAGGGUGAGCAAAUACUGAGAGGGACUGCUGAGGAAAUGGUCUUCAUCAGUGACUCUCAGGUGAGACCAGGGGUCCUUGGGUUUCAGCACAGCCCGGGCAAUUGAAAUGCAGGGCUCCUGAAAAUCCAUGACACCCCCACAUUCUAAUUCCGUUAUUGCAACUGCAGACAGUUAACUGGCACAAUGGCUGCUAACCUCCCUCACUCUUGUAAAGUCUGAGCUACAGGCAGUGCCUUCGGCUCUGAGCUCAGGCAUGCUAAACUCUGUUUCGGCGAUUAAGUGCUGUGGGGUGUUGAUCAAGUUCUUCUUGACCAUAAGUCAACCAUUCCAGCUGUUGUUAUCCCUCAGUGCUGACUAAACCUAUUUGAUUUCACUUGUUUUUGACCCAUCACAUGUUUUGGUUUCUUCUCCCUAGUCCCUGUUAUGCCUCCUCCUGGAGCCCUCAGCUGAGAAAUACAGGGACCCCUGUCUUCAGGAGGAGGGAGGGUCACGUGAGAUAAUGAGCACCAUUUGGAUCCAUGAAGAGGACACCUGGAAGGAGACUGUGAUGAAUACCACCUCAACAUCCAGUCUCUGGAGAGAGACAUCUACAAAAUUGGAGAAGAAACAAUCUAUGAGGAAUUGAAAUUAAUUGAGCUCAGGCAAUAUAAAUCCCUGGCUAUUAGGCAGAGCAGCUGACAAAGUUACAGAAGGAGUUACAGGAAUGAAGAGAUGCCUCCUGCUCAGUGAAUAAAAAUUUCAAGACCCCCCCACUCCUGAUUACCCAGACAAGUCCCAGGGUCAGGACCUCCAAGAGCAGCUGGCUAAGGGGCUCAGGCUGGCAGAGCAUUAUGUCAGCAAGCUCAGCCCAGAAAAUGAUAAACAUCAUCAAGAUCAAACAGAUGAGGAGGGCAAGAAAGCAGAGAAAUCAGCUUCCCCCAGGUAACACUGAAUAAUCAGGAGUGGCUAAUGGGUGGUGAAAUCUGGAAAAGGUCUCAGAAAGAACAUAAGGUAGGUGAACAUAGUCACAGAUUCCAGAUGCAGGAUACGGACAGCUGCAGAGUGCACUGACUUCAUGCACUCACCAACAAGGAAAUCGUGCUGUUAACAUGCUUGUCCAUUGUCUUGAUGGUACCUGUAAGCAUGAUCCUCGAUGACCUCACUAGCCUUAGGGACUUCCUGUACAUACAGAGGAGACCUGUCCUCCCCUGUAGUGAAAGCCAGGCUGAGAUGCAAAGCCGCUUUCUACGUGGCUGUCUUUAGACUUUUGUUAGGGAAGAUAAACAGGAAAGAGGCAACAAGCAGAGGAAUUGGGAAGCAUCUAGCAAAGUUAAACUCUAUGAAAAGUACCUGGAAAAAUGGACAUUUUAUGUCACAAUGUUAAAAUUUUUAAAAAUCUAGAAGGCACACCAUCUCUGGGGUCUACCAUGGCUCAGACACCUGUAUUUCCUUGGCCACAGUAUGUUAAAUACAACCCAGCUUAGACACACGGUGUGGCAGCUGUUUUUGGUUCUGUGUGUGUGCUGUGAAGACUGUAGCAUACAGAAGCAGCUGAGCCUCUGCCUUCCUCAGCUCUUGUCUGUCUAAUGCAAUGAACACCAGCUCCUCUCUUCCUCUUGAGUUCCCAUGGCAGCCAUGCUCUGUUUCAGAGAGAGGAGGAUUGCCUGUUCCCUCUUAAAUGGAACCUCCCCUUUGCUUUCUGGGACCAUUACCUUACAUCUCCCAUCAAAACAGCUGGGAAUUCCUGGGGUCCAAUCCCUCUUGGUUUAAUUUUUGUCAUCUCUAUCCUGCCUGGUUCAUCAGGGAGGUGCAGAAGGCUGAGGAAAAGGAAGUCCCUCAGGACUCACUGGAGGAAUGCACCAUCCCUUGUUGAAACAUCGACGGCCCUUCUGACUCCAACCAGGCUCACAGGAGCGCCAAAUUCAAAUUUGAGGAAGACAAAGUCGACUCUGCUCUGAUUGUAGACAGUGAAAUCUCUCAGGAAGAAUGGGAGGAUGCUCUAAACAUUCUUCCAGGCUGAGCCAGGAGCUACUGGAGGCAAAGGAGCAGGAAGCCCCAGAAGACUCCCUGGAUGAAAUUUAUUGGACUCUUUCAGUUCAGGGUGACCUGUCUGAUUACCACCAGCCUUAUAGCAGUGCCUCGUCCUCACUGGAGAAUCAGCUUAUGUGCCCUGCUGUGGAUGUAGCCUGGAUCCCCAGCUCAGGGGCCAUGGACAGUUGUGGGUCCAUGACCUGUUAGGAACUGGGCCACACAGCAGGAGGUCAGCGGUGAGAGAGCAUGACCGCCUGAAUUUCGCCUCCUGCCAGAUCAGCAGUGGCAUUCAAUUCUCACAGGACUCGAACCCUAUUGUGAAUUGCACAUGUGAGCGAUCUAGGUUCUGCACUCCUCAUGAGAAUCUAAUGUCUGAUGAUCCACCACUGUUUCCCAGUGACUGUCACCCCCACGUGGGACCAUCUAGUUUCAGAAAAACAAGCUUAGGGCUUCCACUGAUUCUACCUUUUGGUGAGUUGCAUAAUUAUUUCAUUAGAUAUUACAAUGUAAUAAUCAUAGGAAAAAAGCACACAAAAAAUGUAAUGUGCAUGAAUCAUCCUGAAACAAUACCCCGUACCCUGGAGCCAGAAAAAUUGUCUUCCAUGAAACCGGAUGCUGGUGCCCAAAAGGUUGGGGACUGCGGCUGUACCUGCUGGGAGGUGACCUCCCUCCACUGACGCAGUCCAGUGUCUUUUCCUUUACUCAGGCCCAGGCUUGCAUUCUCUGCAGAGCUCCAGUGGCUUUUUCCAUGUGUGGGCUUGUUUGAAUCAUGAUUUGGUCUCAGUGUUAUAUUCUCAUGAAAACCAUUGAGAAUGAGUGUCCCUCACGGGGUACUGGCCUAACUGAUGAGCAAAGCGGAGUGGUUUCUAUCCUCAUGAUGUCCAGAAAACCCUUCCUCUGAGCAAGUGCCCUUUGGUGUAGCAGCUUCACAGGAUAUGUAGAGAAAAAUUCCGAUUUUCAUUUCUUCUUGCUCAUUGCAUUUUUUUUAACUUCCAUUCUGGGAGUUUCAUGUGCGUUGUUGGGAGUUUCAACCAUCAACCUAUUUUCUAGUAAGAGCAGAUAACUCUGUGAUAUACUCAAGUAUAUCUGAUAAUGUUGUAAUAAAAUUAGCAACAGUGCCAGGUGCGGUGGCUCAUGCCUGUACUUCCAGCACUUUGGGAGGCUGAGGCAGGUAGGUUGCUUGAGCUGAGUAGUUUGAGACCAGUGUAGGCAACUAUACAAAAACAUGUCUCUAUGAAAAAUUAGCAAGGCAUGGUGACACACACCUGUACUUCCAGCUUUAUGGGAGGCUGUGGUGGAAGAAUCACCUGAGCCUGGGAAAUUGAGGCUGCAGUGUGUCAUCAUUGUACCACUGCACUCCAGCCUGAGCAACAAGGUGAGACCUGUGUCACACACACAGACACACACUCACAUGCGUGCACACAUACACACAGAAAGGAACUAGCAAUGAAAAUGUUGGCCUCUCUUCUGUUUCAGUCAGCAAGCACCUUUCCUGUCGGGACCAUCCCCUUUCCUGUUUUGCAUUUCUCCCUGAGUUUGAAAAAGCAAAUACUUUUUUGUGAUCACAGUGAUUGAUGAAACAAAUAAAAUACACUUGGACCUUGCAUCUGCUGUAUGCCCUGCCCCUUGCCAAACAAGCUCUGUCCUGCUAUAAAACAUUCAGAGCUUAAGAAAUGCUCCCAAGGGGGCAGUGGCAUCUCCAUGUUGGAGCUGAGGACGCUGAGGCUCAAAGUUUUCUUCACUUGCCCAGGAUGCCCUGACAAGUCAUGGUGAGAACAUGGUCCCUUUUCUGCCUGACUUCAUGGCCCAGUUUCUGUCAUUUCUCUGUUGGAGGACCUGUUUGAGACUGAGACAUGAUUGGUGCUCACCCUUUUUUCUUUGUAGAAAUUAUUUUUGAAUAAAGUCAAGAUGAAAAAGAAUAAGCUGCUGGUCUAGGAUAAAGAAGUCCUGUAGUCCCUGGCACAGAUUUCUCAAGAAGGAUUACCUGUGUGCACUCUGUCAGCAGAAUCAGUGGCUCCUCCAGUCCCUCCAGGGGGACCUACAGCUCCAGCAGGCUCUCCCUUGGAAAAGCACUCAGGGAAUAAAUGAUCCUAGUCUCUCCCCACCUCCCCAUUUCCAGGGUUUUAACUCUCAACUUGGCCAUGUUUAGGUCCCUGUAAAGCUGUGGAGCUGCAUCUCAUAAACACCCCAGCCAGGAUGGGUCUUCUACAAGAAAAAAGGGAAAUGCUCUGAUACGUGUCUCAGAAGUGAGAUGCUUGUGACAUCGCUGGCCCUGCCGUCAGGAACAUGGGCCAGGAGAGGGCACAUUCAUCCAUGCAGAUGGGCUAAGAUGAAUGAACAUGCCCUUCAGAUUACACAAGGAUGCUUCCUGUGUGUGGCUUCUUGACAAUAAUGUGUGAAUAGUGUGCACGGUGCAUAGCCCUGACCCCAGCAGAGGUGUCAGCGUGGAUCCGCUCUGCACCUGUUCUCCCUGCAGUGAAAGGGUUGGUGGACUUAGGGAGAAUACAACCUAAAUUAUCUCUUGACCUUUCCUUGUGACUUGGUUAAGGAGGAGUCUAGGAGCUCUGUCCCUUGUAAAGACACCUUAUUUGUAAUUAAUUUGAAAAGUGGUUUGAAAAACUCUAACCAUCUGUAUUCUAACCAUGUUCCUCUGACCAUUUUAUCAUCAAUUAAUCACCGCUGUCUGUGUUAGUUAUUAUGUUUAUAUUUGUACAUUGGAAAUAUUCUCUCUCAAAAUUUUACUAUGUACUUGUUUUUACUGGCAUUCUUCACAAAAAAGAAUAUGCCCCACCCAAAUUUUAACUUUCAUCCAAAAUUAAUUUUAAUUUGUUAUGCUGGCAUUCUGUUGUGGAAAAGAAUAUUCUCUGCCCCAGUUUUAACUUUCACCCAAAAUUAACUUUAGUCUAUUAGUUAUAAUGUUUAAACUUUAAAUUUGUUUAAUUAAAAAAUUUUUUGCCCAUCAUUCUUGACUAGAUAAUUUUUUACAAAUAAUGUUCUAAGUUUUUAUUUUUAUGAUUGGUUUGCCAGAUAAUUCUAUAGAUUAAUAAAAAACAUUCUUAUUUUUCUGUUUAUAUUCUAAACUCUUCCAUAUUUUAGUCUAUAUUUAUUAUAUGAGGUAGAUUGUGUUUUCUGCAUUUCUUUGUUGGUGUUACUUGUUUUCUUUGUGUGUGUGUAUGUGUGUGUACGUGUGUGUACGUACAUGUGUGUGUACCUGUGUGUACACGUGUGUACAAAUGUGUACGUCUGUGUACGUCUGUGUACGUACAUGUGUGUACGUGCACACAUGUGCCUUUUGUUGUUAUUUAAGAAGAGUUGUAUAGCUCUUGUUUAACAUUGCACUAAGGUGUUGACAUCACUAAUCCCCUUUUAACUUGAGACACUUCCACUAUUUGGUUUAUACAUUUUAAGUUACAUCUUUCAGCUUCAGAUUUUCACCACUAUAACAAUCAAAGCAUUAUUUUCCUCUUCUCUAUCCUCUUUACCUGCCAUUUCUUAUUUGUCAUUUCAGCCCAAACAUAAAGUGACAGCCUGUGUGUCCCACCUGUUCCCACCUUGGUUUUUGGUAUAGAUCUACAAUUAAAUAUGUUGACGCACAUGUGCUAUUCAAACGUGUGUCCUAAGUGUCCCUUGUUGAGUGGAAUUUAUCUGUAACAGAGUCCUCCUGAGGGAAUCAGGUCUCGCUGACUUUUGCUUAGGGAACUUUUCCCAGACUUCACGCAUGGGUCACAUCACCGGAUAUACAGUACUUGCUAAAAAGGAUUUUUCUUAUGAUUUGAGGAUGUCCUGUUUGGCAUUGGGAGACAGCAUGUUUGCUCUCUCUGGGAUUCUACUUUGUUCUACCAGGACGUUUAAUUUCUGCCAGUUACUUCAUUCAUUCUCGUCACUACAAGUCUCCAGAGGAUGCUUCCUUUGUCUAAGCCUCCCGGUCUCCCAGCAAUGCUACCCUUGGAAGAUAGGUCCCUCUGGUCCUCCGUACUGUGAAGCCCCUGCCCAUCCAUUCCCCAGUAGCUGGGUUCUGAUCCACCAGGUCUCAGGCAUGUUCUGUGUUUCUCCACACUGGCUGUCUGAGGAUGGUUUUUCUGGGUGUUAUGUUGUGAACAGGCCCUCCCUGCUGUGCUGGUUUCUAUUUGCAUAGUGUUUCCUGCUCCCUCUGCUGUUGUGUGGCUCCCAGAUCCAGCUAAAUAAAAUCACCUGAGGGCCACAGUGUUCCCUAGCCCUGGUUGGGGGCAGGAUUAUGGGUGGCAUUUUUGACUGUGUUAAUCCCUAGGGCUUUGAAGUGUAUGUGGAGAAAUUCAGCUUUUAUCUCUCAUACUUCUUCAAAUGCAGAACUUCAGUAGUGUAAAAAAGGAGACAGAAUCAUACAGUAGAACAUCCCCAUGUUCACUGGCCAGCUUCAGCAAUAGUCAUUGAAUAGCUGAACUUUUAAAAAUACAAUCCUUCCUGCUUACUUAUGAAAUGUGUGUGUGCGUAUAUAUGUACACAGUAUGUGUGUGUGUGUGUGUGUGUAUAUAUGUUUGGACAUAUGAUUAUGGAGGCUGCAAUUCCCAAGAUGGAAAGCUGGACACUCAGGAAAGCAUUUUCUUCUCAUUGACCUUUUCCUUCUCCUCUGGCCUUUGGCUGAUUGGAUGAGGCCCGCCCACCACAGAGAGGGCAUCUGCUUCACUUAGUUUGUCUAGUUUAGUGUUAAUGUCAUCCAGAAACUGCCUCCAGCACACACCCAGAAAAAUGCUGGAACAAAUGUCCUGGCACACCGGGGCUCACUAAAUGUUAUACACACAAUUACCCAGUAUACAGGACCUUUGACCUAUGUGGGGUUUUCAUAUUCUUCUCCCAAUUUGUAGCUUUUUAGUCUAUUAACAGUGUCUUAUGCUGACCAGGAAUUUUUAAUUUGUAUCAAGUUGAACUUAGGAAUGUUUCCUUUAGUACUUUGUGUUGAUAUGAUAACCAAGUCUAUUUUGUGUCUAACUCUACACCGUGGAAGUUUCUCUUACAUUUGCUACUGUAAUUUUUCUGGAUUUGCAGUUCACGUUUAGUUCUAUAAUCAAUUUUGAGUUACUUUUGGUGCAAGUACAAAUGUUUCAGUGGAUUUUUUCUUUCUUUGUUUAUUAUUUUUUUACUUCACCUUUGACUUAAGCUCAGGAGUACAUGUGCAGGACGUGCAGAUUUGCAACACAGGUGGAUGUGUGCCACGGUUGUUUGCUGCACAGAGAAUCCGUAUCAUUGCAUUGCCUAGGGAUUAAGCCCAGCAUCCAUUAGCUUCUCUUCCUGAGGCUCUCCCUUCCCCAACUCCCCACCCCCUGACAGGGCCAAGUGUGCGUUUUCCCCAUCCCCACCCUAUCUGUCCAUGUGUUCUCAUCAUCCGGCUCCCACUUAUAAGUGAGACUAUGCAGUGUUUUGUUUUCUGUUCCUGUGUUAGUUUGCUGAGGAUAAUGUCUUUUGACUCCAACCAUGUUACUUCAAAUGACAUGAUCUCAUUUCUUUAUAUGGUACCUAUUCUCUAUCUAGUCUAUUAUCAUGUUUUCUUGGUGUCUCCAUCAAAGAUCAAUGGAUCAUAGAUGGUGGUUUAUUUCUCGGCUGGGUCAGCUUCCAAAGGCUUACUCAUCUCCUCACACAGGCAUCUUUCCAGGCCUCAGAAUCUCUGAUGGUUUCCCAGGUGUUGUGUCUGUUAUCUUGAGUGCUGGAUGCCUUUGUGUUCCUGUGUAUCUUUAGCUUUCUUCAGGGAUGCAGUUAAAUCACUUGGAAACAGUCUAAUCAUUUUCAGUCUGGUUUUUAUGAUUUGUGAGGUGGUCCAGAGCAGGGCUCAUGGCAUGCUACUGAGCAAAAAGCUUUUUGAAACUCCUAUCCUUUGUCCUGUGGAUGAUGAGUUAAUUUUAGUUUUAAUUAUUAUUCAGGCACCAUUCCAAGCCUUGUGUAUGGGCCAGGCACCAGACUCUCCAAUCUUUUCAAAUGAUUUUCUUUUGACUUUGGAAUAUUUUCAUCAAAUGUGGGCUCUGAUCCGUACUUUCUUAAUCAGCCCUGUGCUGAUGCAGUAGGGACACCCUCUGUGGUUCACUGUAAUUUACUUUCUGCAGCUCUCUCCUGGCUGGGUCCUAUUUACAGGUUUUAUGCUACUUUGGGUUAACACUACCCUGGACACUCUGCUUAGUGUCCUUAACUCAAAGGUGUGCACUAAGGUCCUUUUGACUUUCUCCUCCCUGUCCUUAGCUUGGAAGCUCUCUCAUGGCAGUCAGUGGAAGCAACUGAGGGGCUCCGCUGUCUGGGUUACAUCUCUCAAGGAUGGCUAUCCUUUUUUGCUAAAUGUUCAGUAUCUUGGAACCCAUCUUUUUGUGUAGUUUAUGUUCACAGAGACUGUUCUCUCUCUCUGCAAGGAGUGGAAAAACAUACCGUUGUCUUUCACAUAAAUUCUUUAAUAGCUUUUAGAAAACAAAAAAGUGGUUUUUGAUUACAUGAAUGAAUUGUGUAGGGGUGAAGACUGAGAUUUCAGUGCUCCAUCACCCUAGUAGUGUACAGUGUACCCCAUGUGCAGUAAAAAUCCACCUUUAAGUGUGAGGUGUGUUCCUCAUGGAUUGGGCUUAAAGGCAAUGACACCAGCAUUCCAGGAAUCAGUAACUGUAAAACCCAACCUUAGGAAGAAAGCUUAAUAUUAUUCAUGUGAGAACUAGGCUCUGGAUCUUCAGAACUUGUUUCAUUCUUGAAAAGAAGUAUAUAUCAGAUGUGGUAAUAUCCUGCUUGAACCACAAAUGUUCAUGUUUCUAAACAUAUUAAGUAUUAAAUGUCCAUACUUAAUAUAUAAUUAUUAAGGAACAUAUUAAGGAUAUAUUUUAGAAAUCAGACAAAACUUUCAAAAGUAUUAAAGAGAAGAAAGAUCAACACAAAAGGGCCUAAGUGGGAAACCCAGAUAUGCGUAACAGAUUUUCCAGGAGAAAAGAAAUAAAAAGCUGCUUUAAUAGUCACAGAAUUCCAGCUUGUCUGCAGGAAGGAGUUGGUUGGGAGCAGUGUCCAGCAGUUUUGUGAGAAGAGGAUGGAAGGGAAGGGCUGUGCACCCUCUGGGGGAAGGACAGAGCCUGCCAUGUCCUUGAUGAUUUUGGCCUUUGGUGAUACGGGGCAAACACCUGGAAGACCAGGCUUUGUUAAGAGACCUAGACAAAUGGGUUGUAAAACAUUACUUGUAUCCUCACGCCUCUAAUCCCAGCACUUUGGGAGGCCGAGGCGGGUGGAUCACGAGGUCUGUAGAUCAUGGAGACCAUUCUGGUCAACAUGGUGAAACCCCACAAUAAUUAGCUAGACAUGGUGGCAUGAGCCUGUAGUCCCAGCUACUAGGGAGGCUGAGGCAGCGGAAUUGCUUGAACCCAGGAGGCGGAGGUCGCGGUGAGCCAAGAUUGCGCCAUUGCUCUCCAGCCUGGGUAAAAAGAGCGAAACCCCAUCUCAAAACAAAACAAAACAAAACUCAUUUCAGCUGGAUGAAAUAAAGGCAUCACUUCUAUUUUGAGUGUUUUCUUCUGCAUGUGGGCAAAGGAGAGUCUUGCAACUUAGUUGCUAAUAGAUUCUCUGAUUAUUAUGCAGAAGCCAAAUGGCAUCUACAAAACAGCUCAUGGGGUUCAAGCAGGAUUUUACCACAUCUGAUUUAACUAGAGGGAUUGACAAUAAGGUUAGGAGAGAGGCUAGCUAAGAGGAAACCUAUCAGAAGCUUAUCUUAAAUGAACUGAGAUCAUGUAAAACUCAGAGUGCCUAACUGGGCUUGACCACCGACCUUUUAGUUAGCAGACAGAAGAACUCAAGGUCACGCAGCAGAAACACACAUUCUCUCCAGCCUUCACAUUGCAGCACCCUGGGCUCCUCUGCCUCGUGCAACUGCACCAGCUCCAGGAAACAUUCAGCCCGUCUGCAGCUACCAUUAGGCUUCUGCAAAACAAUCAGAGAAUCCAUUAGCAACAAAGUUGCAAGACUCUCCUUUGCCCACACACAGAGGAAACCCUGCCUCAAAACCAAAACUAAACUAAAAUCAACUCAGUUUAAAUUGUGUUACACCGAGUUCUCUUUACAGCUGAUGUGGUGACAGAUGCUUUCUCUAGCCUCUAUUUAUUUAAUACAGUAAAAUGAUUACUCGCUUUUCUAAACAGCUAAAGCUCUUUGUACCAAAACUUUUCAAAAACUGUUUUUUUGAGAGAAAGCAUUAAUUUUGUUUUAAAAUUUCAUAUGUGUUACCUCUUAAAGUGAGGCUACUGAGUAAGCUUUUUUGAUUAUGCAGACAUAUUACGAACAUUCACCGUUGUACUAUAAACAGCACAAUUCUGCAUUUGAUUUUUAGUUUUCCAGUCUGUUUAGAUUGUCCUUGUGCCAGGUCAUCACCCACCUUUCUAAUUUUCUGAGAAGACAAAUAACCAAGUUUGUUAAGAAGUAUUUGCUAACAGUGGUAAAUAGGAGCUGAUUGAGAGUCUAAAUACCUUUCCUUUGGGUCAAGUGCACGGUUUUAAUGCUGAGGCUAUGUGGAACCUAUUUUAGGUACUCUGGGCCAUGAAGCUCUGUUAAGAUGAAGUUGCAAGGAUGCUCCACCUUCAGAUAAGUGGAGAAUUACUAUACCUAGUUGAGAGGUACCAUGGGGCAGUGAAGGGAGGAGAAAGAGGGACGUGAGCUUUAGCAGAAUACUUGAUAAAACUCAUAUCAUUCUGCCAUUAUAUUGCAUUUACCCCUUAACAUCAACUUCUAUUAUUGAUUGGUUUAUCUGUGCUAAUGCUAUGUAUACAUCUCAUUUAACAAAUGUAAUAGCUGCAUUUGACACAUGGACCAUUGAGAUUCUGAGAGGUUAAAUAAUCUGCCUGUGAUCACAUAGCUAGUAAGUGGUGGAGCUAGGAUUUCACCCCAGCUCCGUUUAAUGCUAAAGCCCAUGCUCUAACCAUAUUGUUAUAUUGAUAAUUUAGUUCAGAAAGGAUGGAUAUCAGCUUCAUUCUGCAUCUAGAGCAAUGGGACUGACUUUCUUUUCUUCUUUCUUUUUUUUUUUUUUUUGGAGACAGAGUCUUGCACUGUUGCCCAGGCUGUAGUGCAGUGGCAUGAUCUCGGCUCACUGCAGUCUCUGCCUCCUGGGAUCAAGCAAUUCUGCCUCAGCCUCCUGAGUAGCCGGGACUACAGGUGUGUGUCACCACGCCCAGCUAAUUUUUUUGUAUUUUUAGUAGAUACGGGGUUUCAGCAUGUUAGCCAGGAUGAUCUUGAUCUCCUGAUCUCAUGAUCCGCCUAACUGGGCCUCCCAAAGAGCUAGGAUUACAGGCGUGAGCCACUGCGCCCGGCCAGGAGUUACUUUUCUAACACUGUACAUAUGCAUAUUUCCAAAAUUCUGCUAAAACAACACAGUUUAGUUUGUAAAUAUAUAGAUUUUAUAAUAUUGAAUGUUUACCAGGAUUAGUACAAAAUGUUUUAAAGAAAAGCUCUUUGACAUAAAACCAUUCCAAGAAUGUAGUGCAUCAUUUAAUUAAAUUAUAUUCAGUAGCAUAAAUUGCAUGGUUCAAUGCUAGUCAUAGUAGGUGCUCUUGGUAGCUCUAACUGUUCAUUUUGUACAGCUUGUUGUAGAUUAGAGUCUAAUGCUAGAAACACUAAAAUCACAUCAUUUGGGGAGACUUGUGAAAUUUAAGUUUGGUCAACUUCGAGUCCAUUUCUACAGUGGUAACAUUGAGAAAUCUGUCCUGCAUACUUGUAACAUUUUUGUAAUCAUCAGAGAAGAAAAUGUGUAAAAAUACUGAAGGAGGCCAAGGCAGGAGGAUCACUUGAAGCCAGGAGUUCAAGACCAGCCUGGGCAACAUAGUGAGACCAUGUUUCCAUUAAAAAAAUAAAUGAAUAAAACAAACACUUUGAAGAUAAUUUAAAGUGCUGUGUAGUAAGGUAGUAUUUUAUUACUUGGUUAAGAGACAGCUUUCUUCCAACAGUUACCUGACUACUACAAAUAAUAUGUGAGUGAUUUCUCACAAGUAAGUUUGUCCCUCAUAUUUAUACCCAAGUUACUCUAAAAGGGUAGUACUAUGUAGGUAGAUAUAUCACAAAACGUUUUCCAGAAAGGUGAGUAGCAAUAAAUUACUUGGUCUUUUGGAAAUAUGUAAUAAUUUUUGUAUCUAAUAUAUGGAUAUUUAUACAUUCUCUUCAGCAAAUAUGCAUUAUCCAAGUUAGCAUGGGAGUUCCUACCAUAUUGGGGUUCCUACCAUUGAAUCUCCUGAUUUUCCUUUGGAUCUUGGCUCCCUGUGCUAAUCUUUCUCACUCAUGUCUCCAGUGAUUUUAACAGAUGUAGAGAAUGUACAGGGUUUCUAAAAAUUCAACAAAAUUAUGCCUUGAACUACAGGGGUUGUAUUCUAGCUACUUUGACCAGGAAAAAAAUUUACUAGGGCCAUUAACUAAUGGAAACAGCACAGACUGAGUGAGCCCUAGGAUUGAAUUCAGCUCUUAGAUUUAUUAAUCUGACCUUGAGCCAGUCCGUUCAUCUGUCAAACCUCACUCUUUUUUUUUUUUUUUUUUUGAGACGGAGUUUCGCUCUUGUUACCCAGGCUGGAGUGCAAUGGCGCGAUCUCGGCUCACCGCAACCUCCGCCUCCUGGGUUCAGGCAAUUCUCCUGCCUCAGCCUCCUGAGUAGCUGGGAUUACAGGCACGCGCCACCGUGCCCAGUUAAUUUUUUUGUAUUUUUAGUAGAGACGGGGUUUCACCAUGUUGACCAGGAUGGUCUCGAUCUUUUGACCUCGUGAUCCACCCGCCUCGGCCUCCCAAAGUGCUGGGAUUACAGGCUUGAGCCACCGCACCCCGCCAAUAUAGUUAAUUCUUUUAAGCACCUGGAAUUACGCCCUAUCUACGAAAGCUGAGUAGAUCAAAGUGAGCGAUAACUGAAUUUGAAGUCCAGGUACAGCAGAAGUUUGGGGCUCCUCUGUUACCCAUGCUUAUCCACACCUUGAUUUUUUCUUUUCCUAAAGCAUCUGGGCCUUUAGUUCAAAUACUGGCAGAUCUACAGCUUACUAGGUAGAAUUUUUGUUAUGGCAUACAUCAACAUAUUUCAAGUUUCUCUGCUUGGAUGGAAUAGAUGCAUUAAAUUCUAUUAAAUGAGUAAAUUGUGAAAAAUAGAAGGACUUUCAACAGGCAUUAUUUUUCAGGAUCUUAGAAAUAGUUAUGCCUGAUAGUUUUAUAAUGUCUGUCGUAUACCUUUUGCAGUCCACAGAAUGCACUCACAUACCUUAUCAGCUGAUCCUUCGCAGAGAAGCCCCAUGUGAUUCUUUUCUAUUCUCAGCUUUGUCCUUGAACUAAAAUUAGAACUAGGCUGACAUUACAUUUCAGUUGGUUACAGCUGACGGGAUUUUAAUCAUUUGGAGCCACAUUGAAGAAAAUAAAAAACCCUGCAAUCUACUUUUAACUGAUAGUCAUUAACUUUGGUUGUGUGAACUUUAGUGUCCACCAAUAUUGAUGCCUAAUGGUAGCUGCGCCUAGCCGAGAUGGCACCAUUGCACUCCAGCCUGGGUAACAAGAGCGAAACCGUCUCAAAAAAAAAAGAAGGCUAGUGCGAAUCUGGGAAGAACGAGUAAGCUUAACUAAGCUAAGAGAAAAGGUCAUCAGGGAAGAUGGAAGAGUCAUUUUGAAGAUAGAAAAAGAGGAAUGGAAGACCCUUCCUUCUUCUCUGCUGAAACUAAACCAACUGCAGGAAUGGCAACUUCAUAGAACUGGUUUGCUGAAAAUUCCUGAAUUCAUUGGAAGAUUCCAGAACCUCAUUGUGUUAGACUUAUCUUGAAACACAAUUUCAGAGAUACCUCCAGGGAUUGGAAUGCUUACUAGACUUCAGGAACUGAUUCUCAGCUACAGCAAAAUCAAGACUGUCCCCAAGGAGCUAAGUAAUUGUGCCAGCUUGGAGAAACUAGAACUGGCUGUUAACAGAGAUAUAUGUGAUCUUCCACAAGAGAAUGCAAAAUCUACAUACGUUAUGGCUGCAACGAAAUGAUAUAACAUGCUUGCCUGAAACAAUCAGCAAUAUGAAAAAUCUGGGUACUCUUGUUCUCAGCAACAAUAAACUGCAAGAUAUUCCAGUAUGCAUGGAAGAAAUGGCAAGUCUGAGGUUUGUCAACUUCAGAGACAACCCACUGAAAUUGGAAGUAUCACUUCCUCCCAAUGAAGGCACAGAUGAAGAGGAGGAACGGGAAUUAUUUGGUCUUCAGUUUAUGCACACAUACAUACAGGAGUCACGGAGAAGAGCAGGAAUUUCUCUCGUUGCCCAAGCUGGAGUGCAAUGGUGCGAUCUUCGCUCACUUAGCAACCUCUGCCUCCUGGGUUCAAGCGAUUCUCCUGCCUCAGCCUCCUGAGUAGCUAGGAUUACAGAUCACCAAGUCAUCUGUUCAACUACUUUACCAAUAUCCAUGAAUACGGAUGGGUAAUAUAAUUCAAGAUGCCCUUCUAAAGAGGAUUACUUUGGUGAAUUCUCUAAUGUUUGGACUUCUGAAGUAAAAAGAAAAGCUAUUACCAAAGUUUAAUGAGGCCACAGCAUUUUUUAAAGUUCAUAUUAUCUGCUAUUUAAAGUAUAUAUUUUUGAAUAUAAAAAUAUAAUUUAAAACUUUUUUUGGUGGAAGACGAAUGAUGCUCAAAUUUCUUUUCCAUUAGGCAGUUGUUUCUGGUGAUGAAGAAUGAUCUGGUAAAGCAGUUAACAAAACAUUUUCCAAAGACACCAGAGGGUCUGUAUAGUACUGCAAAGCAGGACUGAAUCCCUUCUGCUGCAAAUACUGGAUUCGACCUUGGUCAAUCAGCAAUUUACAAAGAUGCCCUGUUUUCUUCUUUUCUUCAAUACUAAGAAGCCUAAAUUGAAUAAACACACACAAAACAUUGUUA